rnacentral:rRNA from 1 species
AUACCUAAAAGCUAGCCUAAAAUUAGUCCUAUAAUGACACUUAAAAACUCACUAUAAAUUUAAAUAAAUCAUUUUCUUCCCUAGUACGGGCGACAAAAAAGGAAAAAGAGCAACAGAAAAAGUACCGCAAGGGAACGCUGAAAAAGAAAUGAAAUAAACCAUUUAAGUUAAGAAUAGCAGAGCUAACAUCUCGUACCUUUUGCAUCAUGAUUUAGCAAGAAAAAUACAAGCAAAGAGCCCUUUAGUUUGUAACCCCGAAACUAAGCGAGCUACUCCAAGACAGCCUAUUAAGGGCAAACCCGUCUCUGUGGCAAAAGAGUGGGAUGAUCUUUGAGUAGAGGUGAUAAACCUACCGAGCAUAGUAAUAGCUGGUUGCCUGUGAAAUGAAUAGAAGUUCAGCUUUUUAAAACUUCCCCCCUCUUUUAUGCAAGAGCUAAAAUUGAUUAAGGAAAUUAAAAAAGUUAAUCAGAAGGGGUACAGCCCUUCCGAUAAAAGAAACAACUUUAGUAGGUGCUAAAAGAACAUA